AUAACUCACAAACCUUACAUCUACACUAUUAGCAACAUGUAUAUGAAACCUCAUGAACAACUGAACGUAGUAUGUUCACAUCAAAGAAUAUGUUAAGCCUUGCUAGAAAUGAGAUCGAGACGGAUAAAAAUAUGGCACCAUGGUAAGGUCAUAGAAUAGGAAAGUAGAUAUGGUUAGUCGUGAUAGCAGAAUAGCAUGACACGGUUUGCUGGAUGAUGUAAAGCUUGACUUUCUCAAAUGAGUUGUGCAUACUCUGUAAAACUUAAGAAACAUGUUUUUUUUUUUUUGCGACAGAACUUAAGAAACAUGUUAUAAGCAGGCAAAUCUCUAUUUUGGAGAGCCAAAUCAGCUCCAACUACAUCACACAACAACUAUAGAAUUCAAUUCACCCAAUUGAUGAAAAAACACCCCUAAAACUUGGUGUUAGGGGAUAGGAGCAUGGUAGCCCACAAGAAUGCAGACAUCAACUUACAUGGCUUACAUGU
rnacentral:lncRNA from 1 species